CUGGCCUACAUGUGACUCCAGAACAACAGUAUGAUUGACUGCCUCCAGAACAGGAAAGUUUUUGAUCUAUAAUUUAUACCUCAGUGGCCAGGAGUGGGACACAGCAUCAAACUUCUGUCUGAGUAAGGUUCAUUAGAAUGUGCAGGGAUUAUUGUCACCGUGGCAAUGGUGCAGUUAAGGUGUGGAGAAAUUGAGGAACAAAUGUGCCAGCAAGACCAGGACCAGCAACAACUGCUAACAGUUGUCGAACAGCCUCCACAUGAAGAUGUCACAGCUGAAGGUACCCUUAGUGUGCAGAAGAAUGACAGGAGACUAUCAUCUUCUUUGCCAUUUCCUCCAGAUGAGUGAGGUGCUUUGCUGCUGCAGAAUGAGGAUGUCCAGGGAUACCAUCACAGAACUAUCUUCUGCUGAUGUAGGACUCAUGAACUGAAGGGGUAGGUGGCCAUUCUGUCGUGGUGGUUGUCAAGUUGAUAGCUAAUUUUUUUAUGCAACUACCUGUUUCCAAGGAUCUAGUGGGCUCCUGUGUGGGACUUAUCAAUCCGCAACCCACAAAUUUAUCAAAGCUGUUACCAAUGUAAUUUGUGCUAGGUCACACCACUUCAUCUUGUUUCAAUGUUGCAGAAAGGCAGGAGGCUUUAUAAUGUAGCUGGACUGUCCCGGAUGCAGGGUGCUAUUGGCGGUACAUAUGUCACAAUGAGAAUGCUAUUUCAGAAUGCAGUUGAGAUUAAUAGAAAGGCUACGAUUUAGUAAAUAUAAAAGUCAUAUGUGAUCAUGGUAACACAUCCUCGAAGUCUGAGCCAAAUACCGUGGAAACUGCCACAAUACCUACAUCCUAUAGGCUGGAUGCUUACAAAGAUAGCUGUUGGGAGACAAUGAUGGGGGAGCGUGUUGCCGUGCAGUACAUUCCAGCGUCUUUGUCACAUAAUCCUUGAAUGCUGUCCGUGCAAACUGGAGCAGGCAAAGAGGUGCUGUGAUGGACACUGACGAGCUGGGAGAGCAGCACCAGUCUUCCAAGAAGGCGGAUGAGGACAUUGAGCAGGAGGAACAUCACCUUCAGCAUGAUACAGGAGCGCAGUGCCGGGCACAUCAAGCCAGACGAGAUUUAUUGACAUUUACCUCCAAUAGAUAAGGAAAGCGGCCACCAUGAAUGCAGAUGAGUCAAGACAAGUGGUGGGCUAGCCAGCAUUCACCUCCUCACAUCUUCUGUGGACAGCAUCCUGACUCUGACCACCACAAGUGGCUGACUGACUGUUUCCAAACCCCUGAAGUGGUAUCGGAGGUUGCCCAUGAUUUCCUGUGCCAAAACCUCCUGAAAGAAAGCAAUCCUGUUGACUUGAUUGAGGUCUGCUGACAACCAUCACAAGCUUUCUUCCUUUUUUUCGGAGCUAAACAGCAAGGCAAAACAAAAGCAAU